CCGCCCCUCCCCUUCUGCUGGCUUCGGCAAACAACUAGAGAGAGAAACUCCUGGUGGUUUAUCGACUGUUUGGCUGAGAGAUUGUUAGCUGCAUCCUGUGCUUCUGCUGCGACUCCGAGAGAACGGGGUUCAGGAUUCCUGCUUUGUCUGGUGUCCUGUGUCCUCCACCUCUCUUCCCCUCCCCAUCUACCUCUAUCAUUAUUGGACGCUCUAUCUUUCCUGUCACUCUAGUGCAUAUCUAUCUAAUUAUUGGACUCUAUCUUGUAUCCCAUCUAUCCCUGCUCUAUCUAGGGCAACAAGGCCCACCCUCUAUCUUGUAUCCCAUCUAUCCCUGCUCUAUCUAGGGCAACAAGGCCCACCCUCUAUCUUGUAUCCCAUCUAUCCUUGCUCUAUCUAGGGCAACAAGGCCCACCCUCUAU